UACGGAGGGGGCUAGCGUUGUUCGGAAUUACUGGGCGUAAAGGGCGCGUAGGCGGCUUGUCGAGUCCGAUGUGAAAGGCCUGGGCUUAACCUGGGAACUGCAUUGGAUACUGGCGGGCUUGAGAUCGGGAGAGGGUAGUGGAAUUCCCAGUGGAGAGGUGAAACUCGUAGAUAUUGGGAAGAACACCGGUGGCGAAGGCGGCUGCCUGGCCCGGAUCUGACGCUGAGGCGCGAAAGCGUGGGGAGCAAACAGG
rnacentral:misc_RNA from 1 species